GAUGAACGCUGGCGGCGUGCUUAACACAUGCAAGUCGAGCGAGAAGUUUUGAAAAGAUUCUUCGGAUGAAAUUUAAAAUGGAAAGCGGCGGACGGGUGAGUAACGCGUAGGCAACCUGCCCCAUACAAAGGGAUAGCAUUUGGAAACGAAUAUUAAUACCUUAUGAAACUUAACUAGUGCAUGCUAGGUAGGUCAAAGAUUUAUCGGUAUGGGAUGGGCCUGCGUCUGAUUAGCUAGUUGGUGAGGUAACGGCUCACCAAGGCGACGACCAGUAGCCGACCUGAGAGGGUGAACGGCCACAUUGGAACUGAGACACGGUCCAAACUCCUACGGGAGGCAGCAGUGGGGAAUAUUGCACAAUGGGGGAAACCCUGAUGCAGCAACGCCGCGUGAACGAUGAAGGCCUUUGGGUCGUAAAGUUCUGUUCUAGGUGAUGAAAACUGACAGUAACCUAGGAGAAAGCCCCGGCUAACUCCGUG
rnacentral:rRNA from 1 species